AAAAGUUAAAAUUAAAUAAUAAAUUACUAACAGAUAUUAAAAUAGUGUAAUAUUACUGGGAAUGCGAAAUUGAUCCCCGAAGUUAAAAGGAGGACAACAAGGUGAGGAUAAAUAGUGAAGAGGUAGGUUAAUUUGUGAAUUGACGACGCCUAAACAUGCGUGGGAGUAAAGCGGCUACUUGU